UACAACGACUCUUUGAAGAAACCUUGGAUGAUAUGAGCUACAACAAUAUUUAAUUUCCUUUUGGGAUUAAUAAAGUAUUUUUAAAUUGAACUGAAUUGGACUGAACCGAGGACUAAACAGUACCAUCUACAGCCGCAAGAGGCCACUGUAGGCAUGUGACAACUACAGUAUAUUCUCCCAUAGAAGUGAAAAGUUAACAGAAACAUUAACUUAAAGACAACUGAGAAAGACUGAACACAAAGUGCCCCAGAAAAGAAUCUUAUUUUGCAGAUUACAAAAUGCAGGUAGUAAAAUAUGCAGCCAAAAAUGGUAAUUGAGCAGCGGAAAAAACGUUGAGAGUGAGAAACUUGUGAGGGACUGGUGAAAAGCAGAGGAAACUCUUACUGCAAUGAAGAAAACAAAGAAGCUAAUCACAGGUUGAAAACAAGCUAGCCAGAGCUGGAGGAACUAGUCCACACAUGGGUGCUUGAACGUCGCGCUGCCGGGAGAGGCUUGUCAAUGGCGUAAUUAAUCCUCUUCGCCCUGGAAGUUGCAAAGAAGGUGAAUAUAAAUGACUUUGCAGGCGGGCCCUUCUUGGUUUUCCUGCUUCAUGCAACGCAACAACCUCUCUAUCAGAGCAUGAACAAUUGAGUGUCAGAAACUGCCAGCAGACCUCCAAGCCAAGAUCGACAGUGUCCAUAAAUUCAUUGAAUAGCAGGUAACUGAACACAACACCGGAUCAUAUUAUCAACAUGGAUGAGGUUCCCAUCACAUUUGAUGGACCUGAGUGUCGCAGAGAUCGGGCAGAAAAGUGUAAAAAUAGUAACAACUGGUCAUGAGAAAUCACACUUCACAGUGGUUACUAAUGUGCUAUCUGCUUGCUCUGACCAUAGCUGUCAAGUCUCCCGUUUUGGCCGGGAAACUACCGUACUUUAACCUCUUUCCCGCCGUCCUCCCGUAUUAGUAUUCUCCCGUAUUACAAUAUAAUAAUAAAAAAACAUUCCUCUGCUUCUUUCUCUGAAUUCUGUCACUAGCCUCGCGGGAACUGCCACCUGCAGUAGCCUGGGUGGCAGUUGUCACAAUAUUAGUGCCGACGGCGGGAACAAACCUGGAACAACAAAGGAGAGAAAUGGAUAGACGUGACGAAAGGGAAGGCAUUCCUGCCAGAAAAAGAAAGACAUUGUGCAAAUAUCUUGAAAAAUGGGACAGCGAAUUUUCUUUUCUAAAGAAGAGCAGGAUGGGGCACAGUCACGCGUUCUGUAAGAUUUGUAACUGCGAUUUUAGUGUCUCCCACGAGCGGAGGAACGACAUCAGUCAGCAUGAAAAAUCGACCAAGCACAAGCGCUGGCUAGAGGCACAGAAACAUGCCCAGGCGAUGUCAACAUUUGUGACUAAAAAAAUACCACCGAGGCAGACCAGGUCAUAAAUGCGGAGGUUAAAAUGGCAAUGCUGUGUGCCAAGAACAAUGUUGCUUUCAACUUCUGUGAUGACUUCAAUAAGUGUGUAGCUGAAAUGUUCCCGGACUCUGCUAUCGCACGGAAAUUCGCGGCGGGAAAAACCAAGGCUACCCAACUCAUCAAAGGUAAGCUGAGUCAAAUUAAGUAUGAGUAUUGUGUAUGCAUAUGCCUAUUUAAUAAUGUCCCGUAUGCAUAUUGUAGGGUAAAGGUUAGCUCAUUUUAAUUACUGGGCUCUCUCAACAGGUGCCAUAGCAACAGAGCUAGAUGACGAGUUGACCAUAACAUGCCGAUCUCAGACAUUUUCAGUGAUGUGCGACGAAUCGAACAACAGAAAAGCAAAUAAAGAAUUUGUCAUCCUAACUAGACUCUACGAUGAGGCCACUCUGCAGGUUGUUACAAGAUUCAUGGAGAUGCCUGUAUGCAACGUGGGAAAUGCAGAAAAUCUUUAUGAAAAACUGAGUGAAGCACUAAGAAAAAGGGGCAUCCCAUGGGAGAACCUGAUAGCCUUUAACUCUGAUAAUGCGAGCGUCAUGAAAGGCAGACACAACUCUGUUAUCAGCAGACUGAAACAGAGCCAGCGCCACGUACAGGACCACGGCUGCAUCUGCCACCUGGCACAGCUGGCCACUGGCUGUGGCAUCAGAGCAGCCCAGGUCUGCAGUUAAUAUUCUUAUAAACAUCUUUCAGUGCAAAAAGAUGUGAACUCUACAAAGGGUUUGUAGAUUUCACUGAUUCAGACCACCUGAAGCUCUUCAGGUACUGCAGCACCAGAUGGCUGAGUCUGCUAACCUGCAUCCAGAGAGUGUUGAACCAGUGGGAUGCACUGCAGGCCUACUUUAACAGUCAUGAGGAGGUGGAGAGGAGUGCCAAAGUGCGCGAUCUAGCAAGCCACG